UCGGGAAUUUUGGGCAAUGGGCGAAAGCCUGACCCAGCAACGCCGCGUGAAGGAUGAAGUAUUUCGGUAUGUAAACUUCGUAAGAAUAGGAAGAAUAAAUGACGGUACUAUUUGUAAGGUCCGGCUAACUACGUGCCAGCAGCCGCGGUAAUACGUAGGGACCAAGCGUUGUUCGGAUUUACUGGGCGUAAAGGGCGCGUAGGCGGCAAUUCAAGUCAUCUGUGAAAUCUCCGGGCUUAACUCGGAACGGUCAGAUGAUACUGCUUUGCUAGAGUGCAGAAGGGGCAAUCGGAAUUCUUGGUGUAGCGGUGAAAUGCGUAGAUAUCAAGAGGAACACCUGAGGUGAAGACGGGUUGCUGGGCUGACACUGACGCUGAGGCGCGAAAGCCAGGGGAGCAAACGGGAUUAGAUACCCGCGUAGUCCCUGAGCGGGCUGGCAAGGCGCAU
rnacentral:rRNA from 1 species